AAGCUUGAAUAACUGAUAACUAAAUGCGGAAGUUUGAAACAUAUUUUUUACCGAGAGUCUGGUGUCACUAGCUCACGGACUGCUAUAGAGUAAUAAAAACAAGUCUGGAAUGAAAUUACAUAAAUGUUUGUCUCGAUACGAGAAAACAAACUAAAUACAUACAAGGGACUUCGGCUUGAGAAAACAAACUAAAUACAUACGAGGUACCUCGUAAAUCCCUGGGCUGAAGACAAUAUUUGCUUGAUAAUGUUGUUGCGGUCCAAAAGAUGCUCCCUGAUCUGUGCAAAAAGAUGCACAGAGUGUAGCAUCAGCACAACCGACCUCAUGUGCUGGUAAGUUCCUGGCUUAACCCUGGUGAAGUAUGGACAAGUCUAGACAGGACCUACUAAAAACAACAUGUGAAGAUAUAUAUAUGCAAUAGCAGGAAAUAUACAAAAUUUAUAACAGCUAAGAGAGCGGGGAACAUGCUAUGGGGAUGUAACAAUUCAGAUUUAGAAUUAACGAUUGAAGAAAUGAAGCUGGACGAUAAUAUCACUUAAGGAGCAUUGAUAAAUCAACAAGUGCACGUCACCAACCUUCGUGCUUUUACUCCCAUUUUCACCAAAACAGUCAAAUAAAGUGCACGACAUUACCCUUCGUGUUUUUCCUCUCAUAACUCUCAUAUCAAGGCACAGAAUGACCCUUCGUGCUUAAUUAUUCAAAACAUGGCACGGAAUGACCCUUCGUACAUAAAUAUCAUAAAUAUGGCACAGAAUGAUCCUUCGUGCAUAAAACAAAAUGUAGCACAUAAUGACCCUUCAUGCAUAAAUCACUCUUCCUUACCAAAUCAACAGUCACAACCAAUCGGGGUGAGUGGAUACACAACAAUAUUAAACAUCCCCGCAAAGGCGAAUACAUAUAAUACUGAAAUCCCGACGGGGGAGCAAUAAUUGUAAUAAACAACACGUCCCGACAAGGGAAUAAUUUCAACAUUUCCUCUUUUGUUCAAUUCUUCCUCAGUUAUCAUAUUCGCAUUCGAGCCAACGCUCCAAAAAUAUAUAAUUCGUAAUUCCUCCUCAAACCUUUCACAUUAUAUGAAAUUUAUCAAUUUAACAAGGAAGAAGUAUUACAAAAAUCCAGAUAUACACAAUUAAGACCCACAGUGAUGCUAUACUCUGGUGCAUAGAUACUCCUUACCAUGCCUAUACACCAUACUCCAAUUUAGCAAUUAGCAAUUUAUAUUCUAAUCCCAUUCCCUCAAGCCAAAGUUAGAUCCAACACUUACCUCGAAGGCUAAGGCCAACUCAAUCUUUAAGCACCGCUUUUCCUUUUAAAUUUGGCUCCAAUUUAAUCGUAUCUAGAAGCAGAAGCUAAAACAAAUGUAAAACUUUGAUUCAAAGUGGACAACAAUCUCAACGAGCAUCAGCAACCAACAACAAGUCAAGAUCCAAAGCGAACCAGAAAAUUAACCUAGAAUAAAACUCACAAAGCUCAAGAGAGAGAAAAGCGGAACCAAUUCAAGAACUUUUGUAUUUUAUGGGAGCAUUUUGUUCUCAAAGAACUUUUUAGUGGUUUGAUAUAUAGGAAAAAAUUUCCUAGC
rnacentral:lncRNA from 1 species